CCUACGGGAGGCAGCAGUGAGGAAUAUUGGUCAAUGGGCGCGAGCCUGAACCAGCCAAGUAGCGUGAAGGAUGACUGCCCUACGGGUUGUAAACUUCUUUUAUAAAGGAAUAAAGUGAGGCACGUGUGCCUUUUUGUAUGUACUUUAUGAAUAAGGAUCGGCUAACUCCGUGCCAGCAGCCGCGGUAAUACGGAGGAUCCGAGCGUUAUCCGGAUUUAUUGGGUUUAAAGGGAGCGUAGAUGGGUUGUUAAGUCAGUUGUGAAAAUUCCGGGCUCAACCCCAGAAUUGCCUUUGAAACUGGUGGUCUUGAGUGGGGUAGAGGUAGGCGGAAUUCGUGGUGUAGCGGUGAAAUGCAUAGAUAUCACGAAGAACUCCGAUUGCGAAGGCAGCAUACCGGCGUGCAACUGACGUUGAAGCACGAAAGUGUGGGUAUCGAACAGGAUUAGAUACCCUUGUAGUC
rnacentral:rRNA from 1 species